rnacentral:rRNA from 1 species
UACGAAGGGUGCGAGCGUUGUUCGGAUUUACUGGGCGUAAAGGGUUCGUAGGCGGGAGGAUAAGUUGAAUGUGAAAUCCCUAGGCUUAACCUAGGACGUGCAUUCAAGACUGUCAUUCUUGAGUAUCAGAGAGGGUCGUGGAAUUGCUGGUGUAGGAGUGAAAUCCGUAGAGAUCAGCAGGAACACCUGAGGCGAAGGCGACGACCUGGCUGAAUACUGACGCUGAGGAACAAAAGCGUGGGGAGCAAACAGG